GUGGGGAAUAUUGGACAAUGGGCGAAAGCCUGAUCCAGCCAUGCCGCGUGUGUGAAGAAGGUCUUCGGAUUGUAAAGCACUUUAAGUUGGGAGGAAGGGCAGUAAGUUAAUACCUUGCUGUUUUGACGUUACCGACAGAAUAAGCACCGGCUAACUCUGUGCCAGCAGCCGCGGUAAUACAGAGGGUGCAAGCGUUAAUCGGAAUUACUGGGCGUAAAGCGCGCGUAGGUGGUUCGUUAAGUUGGAUGUGAAAGCCCAGGGCUCAACCUGGGAACUGCAUCCAAAACUGGCGAGCUAGAGUACGGUAGAGGGUGGUAGAAUUUCCUGUGUAGCGGUGAAAUGCGUAGAUAUAGGAAGGAACACCAGUGGCGAAGGCGACCACCUGGACUGAUACUGACACUGAGGUGCGAAAGCGUGGGGAGCAAACAGGAUUAGAAACCCCGGUAGUCC
rnacentral:rRNA from 1 species